ensembl:lncRNA
AUGAUGCAGUUGGACACCGAGGAAUUGUUAAUGUUUAUGACACAUGAGGGAACAGGUCCAGAUGCCUCUGUUGAAAGUGGGGACAAAACACACAAUAAAGGUUUUGAAAUCAUGACAUUCUGGUCAUCGGUUGAAAUAAACAAUAUUUUUUUUUUAGUUACAGUUAAUUAAAGUUACAUUUACACGCAAAGCACUUUACAUAGUAUUUGGGGGGAGGGGGAUCUCCUCAACCACCACUAGUGUGUAGCAUCCACCUGGAUGAUGUGACGGCAGCCAUAGUGCACCAGAACGCCCACCACACACCAGCUAUUAGUGGAGAGGAGAGAGUGAUGUAGCCAAUUCAGAGAUGGAGAUUAUUAGAGGCCAUGAUAGAGAAGGGCCAGUGGGGAAAUUUCACCAGGACACCGGGGUUAUAUCCCUACACAUAUGAGCAUGGAUGAAUGGAAGUGAGAAUCUGGUUUACAUGAAGAACAAUUGAUUAAGACCAAACCACAACAAUCCAAUGACACAUGAAGCAAGCAAACAAACAAAAAAACCCAUCCCAAACGUCUUUCCCAUUGAAGACACACUUCCAGAACAACUUCUAUGUAUGCUUUGCUGACCUAAACUGUUAUGUUACCAAAACCCUGGCCAAACUGAAUUUGUCUACCAGUUCACCAGGUCAGAGAUGUCCAGGGAACUAGAAAUAAUAAACCCUCUCAAACUUGCAGACCCCGACGAGCCUGAAGAACUCAUUCUUUAACACCAUCAGGUCCAGAAAGCUCAUGCUGAAGCUCAAUUUCAUAUGAAUCUGGAUAUGUUUCUGUCCGGUUGAUCACCUGAUUUUAGGAUUAAACUAACCCCCCCCCCCACCCCCCCACACGUACAUCGACUGAACGUCGCAAAUUUAACUGUUGACGUGCGCACUAAACGGUCGAAAAUAUCGAUUUCCAUCACGUGAGGAGGCGUGGCUUGUGCUGUCUUAAUCGAACGGAUAACAAGACAAAAAAUCACUAAUUCGGCUGUAAAUUGAUCUUCACGGUCUAUAUAACUGAACGUACAUUUCCAGACUUAAAAUAAAACCGAUCCACACAAACACACACUGCAGCCUCCGACACCACAUGUGUCGACCACAAUCUCCUGCCUCUG